GCCGAUUGUCUUUGCUUGGGCGUUUCCUCCCUAGACUUGGGCCGCUUGUCACGACGAGCGGCUCUUCUUUUCGUGCAGC
rfam:Bradyrhizobium sp. NAS80.1 Bradyrhizobium_NAS_80.1_c26, whole genome shotgun sequence.